rnacentral:rRNA from 1 species
CGGGACGGGUGAGCAAUGCUUGGGAGUCUAGCUUAUGGAGGGGGGUAACUACGGGAAACUGUAGCUAAUACCGCGUAAUAUCGAAAGAUUAAAGUGUGGGACCUUCGGGCCACAUGCCAUAGGAUGAGCCCAAGUGGGAUUAGGUAGUUGGUGAGGUAAAGGCUCACCAAGCCGACGAUCUCUAGCUGGUCUGAGAGGAUGACCAGCCACACUGGGACUGGGACACGGCCCAG